AAAAAGGCAAACCCUGGGUUUCCGUGUCCAACUUUGACUGUCCGUCUUAUAUGAAAUUUUUUUAUAAUUCGUAUUUUUAUUGUUGUUAGAUGAUAAAACAUGAUUAAUAUUUUAUAUGUGACUUGUCUUUUUAAUUUUUUUUAUAUUUUUUUCAAAUAAGACGGACGGUCAAACGUUGGACACGGAAACCAGGGUUUGUCUUUUU
rnacentral:pre_miRNA from 1 species